UACGUAGGGUGCGAGCGUUGUCCGGAAUUAUUGGGCGUAAAGAGCUCGUAGGCGGUUUGUCACGUCUGCUGUGAAAUCCCGAGGCUCAACCUCGGGCCUGCAGUGGGUACGGGCAGACUGGAGUGCGGUAGGGGAGAAUGGAAUUCCUGGUGUAGCGGUGAAAUGCGCAGAUAUCAGGAGGAACACCGGUGGCGAAGGCGGGUCUCUGGGCCGCAACUGACACUGAGGGACGAAAGCUAGGGGAGCGAAUGGG
rnacentral:rRNA from 1 species